UACGAAGGGGGCUAGCGUUGCUCGGAAUCACUGGGCGUAAAGCGCGCGUAGGCGGACUCUUAAGUCGGUUGUGAAAUCCUGGAGCUCAACUCCAGAACUGCCUUCGAUACUGAGAGUCUCGAGUCCGGGAGAGGUGAGUGGAACUGCGAGUGUAGAGGUGAAAUUCGUAGAUAUUCGCAAGAACACCAGUGGCGAAGGCAGCUCACUGGCGCGGUACUGACGCUGAGACGCGAAAGCGUGGGGAGCGAACAGG
rnacentral:rRNA from 1 species